UUGCUUGCAGGUUCUAAGAAUUCUGGUCCCCUCUUUGGGCCCAAAAAUUAUCCGACAAAUAUUUAAUAUCAAUUGUAGGCCAGGAACACUUGAUAAUGGCCAUUUUUUAAUGGUCUAUUACACAAUCAAUAUUUUUCUCCUUCCAGAAGAAUGAUUUUCAUCUGCUUCCCCCUUUAUUCUCACAUGUCACAACUUAUAAUUCAGGUCUUCUUUCUCCUAAUAAGUAGAACAAAUGAAUGAACACAUGCAUGGCCCAUGGAAGACUUCUUUUACAAAUUUGUAAAGCUUUAUCAACUAAAUUUAUAAAAAACUUUAUCUUAUUCUCUGUAGAGAAAUUUGGGAAGUGUUGACUAGCUGCUGCUUGGAUGACAUAGUUUUCCUUUUCAAAUACAGAUAUUUUAAAAGCCUUUGAUAACUCAUUUUACUGUUCAUAUGUGCCCAAGAGUAUUGUUGUUUGCAACCUGUGGCAGUUAAGAAUAGGUAGGUGGGAAUUCUCCAUUCUCUUUUUUUCUUGUCCAUGUAGCUGGUGAAAAGAUCCUGGCUCUCUGAGUUAUUGUUAAGUAAAAGGUUCCAGAUACAGCCACCUAAAUACAUUCAACAAUCCUGGAAAUUAGAGUAUUAUGCAAAAACAGAUUUCAGGGAUUUUGUUACUGCUACAAAGCAUAGCUUACUACGACUAAUACCAAUACCAAAAUAUCCACCCAAAACAAUUAAUUUAUGAAGUGUACCCUUGCUUGGCACUAGAAAUUAUCCCCAGAGCAAUCACAGAAGUUGUUUAAUAAUGUACCAUCAAAAGUAAGAUAAAUUACUUUGCCUGGAGUAUGUCUUUAAUUUGUAUAUGUCUGUUCUCAAGGUCCUAUUUCUUAUUUCAAAGAGCAAAGUAAAUUGCCUACAUGUAAGCUAAUGAACUAGCUAUUUGAAAUCAUUACUUCUUUACAAUUAGUGCUGUUGGAUCCCCAAGGAUCCAACUCGUGCUGGCUAAAUGUAGUUUUAUCCUACUCUGUGUAGAAAUAUGGAAAAUGUUGUCUAGCUACUGCACAGAUAAAGUAAUUUUCCUUUCCAAGUGUAUUUUCUUUGUGAAAAUAUAUUGUCAGGCUUUUAUAACGCUUAAAUUUCCAUCUUUUUUGUUUUAACAGAGAACAGUAAAAACACAUAAAAAAUUUUGAAACAUGAACCCAAAUAUUAAUUUGAUUUCUUCAAGGUGUCAAAAAGCAAAUAAUGAAAUAUAACUCUCUGAGUUAUACAUGGCAAAUGCUUAAAUUGGCUUUAAUUUAGUAGCAAAUAGUUACCCUUUGAAGCUAGAAUUAUGAAUGGUUUGUAAAUAUCUUUUGCAAGAAAUUGUGGUGGUGGUGAUGAGACAGAUACAUUUGGAUAUUGCAAAUCUGGAAACAUUUCCUAGAGACAUGACUUCUCCCACAACUUUUUAGAUUGAAUCACAAAUCAGCAAUAGUCUUUUCUGUUCCUUUAUUUAAAUUGAGAUUCUGAGUAUGAAAACAGAGUCACACUGAAUGUAAUUUUCUUCUUCUAAACUCCUGUGAUUUAUUUGUUUUGAUUUGGAAGUUAAUCAGAUACCAACUCAUCAUAAGUCUUGGUUCUCCACCUAAAUUGUAAAGCAUUGAAGAGUUUUAUGCAUAAAGCUUGUUGCACAGUAAAGUGUCCCUAAAAAUUGCCUUCUAAAAUAUAUCGCAAGUAACUCCCCACAAUUUUAUAUAGUUCUGCAAACCUAUAGGGAACUCCCAAAAUGUAUGUACCACAUGCCCAUAUCCAUGUUGAUCACAAUUAAGUUGUGAUCCCAAAAAUAUUAUAUAAAAUCUUAGAGUGUACUAGACUAACACAGCCAGUGAUGGCAGCAUUUGAACUACUCAACCACUCCCUCUUAUAAUUAUGCAAACAAUAUGUAAGUAUUUAAGCAUCAACUCAUUGAAUGAGUUUAAAGAAUUUUUCUAGGCAAAGACAGGCCAAAAUGACGAAGACACAGAAAUUAUUAUAGAAACUCCCGGCCACAGUGAGGACCAGACUGUUUCACUGGACAUUUUUGGUUCACAGAGACAAAAAAGACGUAAUUCAAUGAUUGUAGUAACCUAUAAUGGUCUAGCAACAGUUAGUUGGUGAAAUGGUACAUGUCUUAAUAAGAGAAAAAUGAUUUUCCAUGGUAUCCAUGACAAAUUGUGCUUGCUGUGCUGAAAAUUUCAUGGUGAUUGACUGGUAGAUCAGCAUUUAGGAAGGACAGCUUUACAAAUGUUUACAUUUGAGAUUGAAAUACAUUUUAUUGACUGACUUCCAAGUAACAGAAAAUGUUUUGAAAUUCCUUUUUUCACUUACUAAGAUCUUUCUUGUUUUCUCUCUAGAAAUGACUAGAAAUUUAUCUUUCACCAAAUACUGAACAGAUUUUAACUGUGG
rnacentral:lncRNA from 1 species